AAUAUUGGACAAUGGGCGAAAGCCUGAUCCAGCCAUGCCGCGUGUGUGAAGAAGGACUNCGGAUUNUNAAGCACUUUAAGUUGGGNAGAAGGGCAGUAAGUCAAUACCUUGCUGUUUUGACUUUACUGACAGAAUAACCACCGGCUUACUUCGUGCCACCAGCCGCGGUAAUACGAAGGGGGCAAGGGUUAAUAGGAAUUACUGGGCGUAAAGCGCGAGGAGGUGAUUUGUUAAGUUGGAAGUGAAAGCCACGGGCACAACCUGGGAACUGCUUUCAUAACUGCUGAGCUAGAGUAAGGUAGAGGGUAGUAGAAUUUCCUGUGUAGCGGUGAAAUGAGUAGAUAUAGGAAGGAACAACAGUGGAGAAGGCGACUACCUGGACUGAUACUGACACUGAGGUGAGAAAGCGUGGGGAGCAAAC
rnacentral:rRNA from 1 species